GGGGCGGUGGCGCAGUUGGGAGCGCGUUAGACUGAAGCAAUCAUAAACUUCAGCCAAGCACCUGUGAGGUUUUCAAGCAGGCCGUAAUCUAAAGGUCACCGGUUCGAUCCCGGUUCACCCCA
rnacentral:tRNA from 1 species